rnacentral:rRNA from 1 species
GACGAACCGUGCGAACGUUGUUCGGAUUCACUGGGCUUAAAGGGCGCGUAGGCGGAUUGGCAAGUCCGGGGUGAAAUCUUUCAGCUUAACUGGAAAAGUGCCUUGGAUACUGCCGGUCUCGAGGGAGGUAGGGGUCUGCGGAACUUCUGGUGGAGCGGUGAAAUGCGUAGAUAUCAGAAGGAACGCCGGUGGCGAAAGCGGCGGACUGGACCUUUUCUGACGCUGAGGCGCGAAAGCUAGGGGAGCAAACGGG